rnacentral:rRNA from 1 species
UGGGGAAUAUUGGACAAUGGGCGAAAGCCUGAUCCAGCGACGCCGCGUGAAGGAAGAAGUCCUUCGGGAUGUAAACUUCUGAACUAAUCGAAUAAAAGGGUAGUGGACACACUACAGAAGAAGGUAGAUUAGGAAAAGUCCCGGCUAACUACGUGCCAGCAGCCGCGGUAAGACGUAGGGGGCGAGCGUUGCCCGGAAUCACUGGGUGUAAAGGGGACGUAGGCGGAUGAUCAAGUCAUCUGUGAAAAGAUUGCUCAACGAUUGGCUUGCGGAUGAAACUGGUCAUCUUGGGCGUAGCAGAGGUAGACGGAAUUACCUGAGUAGGGGUGAAAUCCGCAGAUACAGGUAAGAACGCCGGUGAAGAAGUUGGUCUACUGGGCUACAGCUGACGCUGAGGUCCGAAAGCCAGGGGAGCGAACCGGAUUAGAUACCCGGGUAGUCCUGGCYGUAAACGAUGCUCACUAGGUGUAGGGAGCGAAAGACUCUCUGUGCUGAAGCGAACGCGCUAAGUGAG